rfam:Sus scrofa breed Duroc isolate TJ Tabasco Contig1914_1, whole genome shotgun sequence.
GAUAUUUGAGGAGAGGUUAUCCGUGUUAUGUUCGCUUCAUUCAUCAUGAAUAAUACAUGGUUAACCUCUUUUUGAAUAUC